UAGGCAUUCAGAAUCUGGUGAAAAAAUCUUCUAGGAGCAGCUAACAAGAAUCCUAAUACAGGAGUGUUUAUGGUUGGGUUGAGACACAUUCAGUAGCUGAGUGAUUGACAGCAAGAGGAGCAAGACAUGAGGAGCUGGUGACACAGUUAUUAUGGAAGGAUAACUGAUAGUCUUAAGUUAAUAAUUAUCAAAUAUAUGGCAAUGCUGGACUUUAGCUGAUCAUCGUGCUUCUGGAAAACAACAAAAAUUGAGAUAUCUGUUCACCACUUUGUGUGUCCAAGGACCACCUACUUUUUACAUGUGACAAGAACUACCCACCUCCACUCUUCAGAACAUGCUGAAGAAAAGAGUUGCAAUGAGAAAAUAUAUGGGAACAAAAUACCUAUGCAAUGCAGAAGUCUGCAUAACUGAACCACUCAGAGGAAAAAGAUUGCCAUUUCAGGACACCUCCUACAUCUGAGGAAAUAUGCAUUGAUCUUGCAGUACUUUUCUCCUCCAAAUAAAAGUCAGUAUGAUAACAACUACACUAUCAGAAGUCUAAGCCAAAGGACACUUCAGUUAUCCAAUCUUGCAACAAAUACAUUUAAGCACUUAAUAUGGGCUACUGUUGGUACUAGGGGCAUUGAGAACUUCAGAUUUGAUUAACACCCAAGAGCUGCUACCAUAAAAUAAACUAGGCAGCUACUAGGCAAUAAGAUGAG
rnacentral:lncRNA from 1 species